AAAAGGUGGCUAUGCUACCGCUUUUGGAUGGGCCCGCGGCGCAUUAGCUAGUUGGUGGGGUAAAGGCUUACCAAGGCAAUGAUGCGUAGCCGAACUGAGAGGUUGAUCGGCCACAUUGGGACUGAGACACGGCCCAAACUCCUACGGGAGGCAGCAGUAGGGAAUCUUCCACAAUGGGCGAAAGCCUGAUGGAGCAACGCCGCGUGGGUGAAGAAGGUCUUCGGAUCGUAAAACCCUGUUGUUAGAGAAGAAAGUGCGUGAGAGUAACUGUUCACGUUUCGACGGUAUCUAACCAGAAAGCCACGGCUAACUACGUGCCAGCAGCCGCGGUAAUACGUAGGUGGCAAGCGUUAUCCGGAUUUAUUGGGCGUAAAGGGAACGCAGGCGGUCUUUUAAGUCUGAUGUGAAAGCCUUCGGCUUAACCGGAGUAGUGCAUUGGAAACUGGGAGACUUGAGUGCAGAAGAGGAGAGUGGAACUCCAUGUGUAGCGGUGAAAUGCGUAGAUAUAUGGAAGAACACCAGUGGCGAAAGCGGCUCUCUGGUCUGUAACUGACGCUGAGGUUCGAAAGCGUGGGUAGCAAACAGGAUUAGAUACCCUGGUAGUCCACGCCGUAAACGAUGAAUG
rnacentral:rRNA from 1 species